rnacentral:antisense_RNA from 1 species
CUGGCGGCAACGUUCCUCCAUCAACGUCAGGCAGAUCAGGCCGCGUCCGUACGUUGCCAUGAAGUUGAUGGCUGCCGGUGUAAUGAAAUCCGCCGCCAGAACCA